rnacentral:rRNA from 1 species
GCGCAGCAGUCGCGAAACUUUACAAUGUGCGAAAGCACGAUAAGGGAACUCUGAGUGCCUCCUAAGGAGGCUGUUCUGAUGUCUAAAAGCAACAGAAGUAAGGGCUGGGUAAGACCGGUGCCAGCCGCCGCGGUAACACCGGCAGCCCAAGUGGUAGCCACGUUUAUUGGGUCUAAAGCGUUCGUAGCCGGCCAGGUAAGUUCCUUGGUAAAUUUAGCCGCUUAACGGUUAAGCUUUCAGGGAAUACUGCUUGGCUUGGGACUGGGAGAGGUCAGAGGUACUCCGGGGGUAGGGGUGAAAUCUAUUAAUCCCUGGGGGACCACCGGUAGCGAAGGCGUCUGACCAGACCAGGUCCGACGGUGAGGGACGAAGGCUAGGGGCGCGAACCGGAUUAGAUA